rnacentral:rRNA from 1 species
CAUGAAGUUUUUCUUUGUGGUGUUGUGGGGUGUGUGGGACCCAAGCUUUGGAGGUAAGCGUGUUAACAGGUGUGACGCAGGAAGGUAGCCAAGCCACGCGGUGGUUGUCGUGGUCUAAGCGUGUAGGAUGACUGGUUGUUAAAUGCGCCGGUUGUGUGUCUGAGACGUGAUGGGACCCCUUGUUUGUGGGGGAUUUGGUGAUCCUAUGCUGCCGAGAAAAGCAUCGGCGUGAGGUUUUAGCUGCCCGUACCCGAAACCGACACAGGUGAUCAGGUAGAGAAUACUAAGGCGAUCGAGAGAAUCAUGGUUAAGGAACUCGGCAAAAUGCCCCCGUAACUUCGGGAGAAGGGGGGCCCUGAGCGUGAUCUGCCCGUGCGGUGGGGAGCGUGUAGGGGUCGCAGAGACCAGGGGGAAGCGACUGUUUACUAAAAACACAGGUC